AUGCAGUUGGCGUGACUUUAUUCCAUUUCCUUUUCUCUCUCUAAAGUCCAAUUAAGAUAGUCUGUCUCCUGGGUACGAUCUUCUGCAUGUAAAGAUUUGUCCGGUGGCCAUGCAGUUGGCGUGACUUUAUUCCAUUUCCUUUUCUCUCUCUAAAAUCCAAUUAAGAUAGACUGUCUCUUGGGUACGAUCUUCUGCAUGUAAAGAUUUGUUCUUUGCACCAAUAAAGGCUCUUGGUUACGCACUUCUGAUUGUAAAGAUCUGUUCUUUACAUCUGUUCAACUUCAAAUAGCUUUUCUUGGCUUCACAGAAUUAAGGUUGUGGGUGAAUUUGCAAAUUCCUCAAGUUUUUACAUACUCACAAUCCACUGUAUGAGCCUUGUCUCGCUGGCAUCAUAGAUGCAGAUCAUAUAAUGCUUGAUAAGGAAUACGACCAAAAAAAUAUUUGAUUUGGGGAUGUUUAUUGUUGGAAUCUUGAUCAGAGAUAUGAAAGAAUCAUGUUUCAACAUGGUUGUUUCAGCUACAUUGAUAUGGGUGUAGUCAACAUAUGCUUAAAGAAAUUAAUCCAAUUGCACGGAAUUAUGCGUGAAAAAUGGUCAAUUUAUUUAUUUCAGGUUGAAUUACUUCUUUGAAAAAGAGUUCUUACUUCUGGCUCUUGUAAUUUUUGCAACCUAGCAAGAACAUCAAUAGUUGGACGUUUACUUGAUUGAAGCUCCGUGCAUUCUAAUGCCAAAUUUGUUAUGUUUAUAGCCUCAA